UGUAAAAUGAAAGAUUACAAGGGUUUAGGGUAUUAAAUACAAAAUUGGAAGAAGAAAAUUUCCUAUCGAGCAAUGGGCUGAUGGGCCAACAAGACAACUCGGCUAAAUGGGCUUUUAUAAUAUUGGGCUCAUGGGCUUUCUUUUUCUUCCAUUUAACCCAUCGGAAUGCUUCUUCUAUAAAUAGCUCCUGCUACAUCACAAUUUUCCAAACCCUAAACCCUAAAUCGGCUCUACUCUGCAACAUCUCCGCCUCGUCUCCUAAUUUUUUUGUUCGUGUUCAUGAGAAGGCUGCGAUGAUGAUGAUUUCAUAUAAUCUCGUUAAUCCGAUCUCAAUGGUUUUUUAUAAGUUCAGUUGGUGACUGAUGGAGAAGCUAACUGCGGAGCCAACUCUUGAACCAAAUUCAAAAUUUAUUCAGAGGCCAAACAUAACCUAUAGGGUAUUUAACUUCCAGGCUAAUCGUUUACGAGAUUAAAACAAGUUUAGGUUUGUUACAUCUGAGAAAAUAAUGACAUAUGAAUGAACUAUGAACACAUUCAAUCAUAAAAUACUCAUCCCAUGUAGCAUUUUCAGACAAACAAAAUCUUGAUACUAAAUUAUGAUAUUACGAAUGUAAGUCGUUAAGUGAACGGCGUGUCGGGCAAAGGAGCAAGUGAAAUAUGAUUUUUCCAAGGGGUAGGCAUUUGGCAUAUAGAUAAAGUGGAAAAAGGAGAGAAGAUAAGGUGAGACCCAAAAUUUGGGACCAAAGAAAAUGAAAGGACAAAACUAUCUUUCCUCAUCCAUUGCCCCAAAAACACACAUUUAAUGAGAUCUCUCCAUCUCUUUCUUU